UACGAAGGGGGCUAGCGUUGCUCGGAAUGACUGGGCGUAAAGAGCUCGUAGGCGGUUUGUCGCGUCUGCUGUGAAAACUCGGGGCUUAACUCCGGGCCUGCAGUCGAUACGGGCAGGCUAGAGUUCGGUAGGGGAGACUGGAAUUCCUGGUGUAGCGGUGAAAUGCGCAGAUAUCAGGAGGAACACCGGUGGCGAAGGCGGGUCUCUGGGCCGAUACUGACGCUGAGGAGCGAAAGCGUGGGGAGCAAACAGG
rnacentral:rRNA from 1 species